GGUUGCGUAGCUCAGAAAAAGAUCGUAGACUGCGCAAGCAGCUGAAUUCAUUCAGUCUUUUGCGAGGAGCCUGAAAGGCGACGGUGGGAGAGCACUACGUUGACAUCGUAGGGGUCACAGGUUCAAUCCCUGUCACGCCCACCA
rnacentral:tRNA from 1 species